GCAGGAUAGCCUUGUGGUUAGGGUGUUUUCGACUCCUAGCCAAAAAGUUCUGGGUUCGAACCCCAAUGUCUGCA